rnacentral:rRNA from 1 species
AGAGUUGAUCAUGGCUCAGGAUGAACGCUAGCUACAGGCUAACACAUGCAAGUCGAGGGGCAGCAUUGGAGUAGCAAUACUCAGAUGGCGACCGGCGCACGGGUGAGUAACACGUAUCCAACCUGCCGCUUACUCGGGGAUAGCCUUUCGAAAGAAAGAUUAAUACCCGAUGGUAUAAAGAGUUCGCAUGUUCUCUUUAUUAAAGAAUUUCGGUAAGCGAUGGGGAUGCGUUCCAUUAGAUUGUUGGCGGGGUAACGGCCCACCAAGUCUACGAUGGAUAGGGGUUCUGAGAGGAAGGUCCCCCACAUUGGAACUGAGACACGGUCCAAACUCCUACGGGAGGCAGCAGUGAGGAAUAUUGGUCAAUGGACGAGAGUCUGAACCAGCCAAGUAGCGUGAAGGAUGACUGCCCUAUGGGUUGUAAACUUCUUUUAUAAGGGAAUAAAGUGAGGGACGUGUCCCUUUUUGUAUGUACCUUAUGAAUAAGGAUCGGCUAACUCCGUGCCAGCAGCAGC